UCGUCCUCCAUGGGCUUCGAGUCCUCCUUCCUCUCCUUCACUUCCGUGGUGCCUGUGUUUUGCAGACGAGGGGGAGAGGGAGACAUCGACAUCGUGUGACUGCGCUCGUGACCUUCCAACCUGUGGUCGUCGCCGGCCUCCACCGUCACCGUGUUUUGGGGAAUAUGUUCAUGUGCUUUUAUUCUGAAGAACAGGCCUCGCUCUCAUACAGAUCACAGCACUUAACAUCGGUUUGACACAGCUUAAGACAUCAGUGGUGUGGCUCGUUUUAAAGUCGACCCCUUGAAAAUGAUACCAGGUGAUGCUGCCAACUCUGGAAGAAGGGGUGUGGCUUAAAAAAAUCUGAAAAUGAUAAGAGAGAGGGAAGCACAUUGGGUGAGGAGUCCCUCCUCACUCUAUCUCUCUGAUCUGGUGGUUGGGGGAGGUAUGACAGCGAUGACAUGGAGAGAAAGGAGGUAAAAGCGGACCAGCUGGGAUGCCGAGAGGAGCAUCAACGACUUACACGGGGCGUUUUAGAGGAAGCUCAAGUGAACAUAUUUGGCUUUAACCCCAGUUGCAUACAGUUGGCUUUAGGCCUGGUAAACGUACCCAUUGGUUUUCGUCUUGUCUUCUGUGCUGCGCUGAUGUCGCUGCGGAUUUGAGGUGGCAUUUCACCGCAAAAUAUUAGAAAUAAUAAUAAUAAAAAAAAAG